UACGUAGGGGGCAAGCGUUGUCCGGAUUUAUUGGGCGUAAAGAGCGUGUAGGCGGUUUUACAGGUCCGCUGUGAAAACUCGAGGCUCAACCUCGAGCUGUCGGUGGAAAACCGUAAGGCUAGAGUCCGGAAGAGGAGAGUGGAAUUCCUGGUGUAGCGGUGAAAUGCGCAGAUAUCAGGAAGAACACCCGUGGCGAAGGCGGCUCUCUGGGACGGUACUGACGCUGAGACGCGAAAGCGUGGGGAGCGAACAGG
rnacentral:rRNA from 1 species